UACCUAAAUUAAUACAAAGAACAAUUUAGUCAAACAAGGCUUUCAAUUUCAUAAAGCUUUCAUGAAAUAAGUGGGUCAUUCUCAACUGUAGAAAUAAAACAGGCACACCCAUUCAACCACCCAAGCUACACUUUAUCACAAAUAAACCUACAAAUAAAUGAAAACUAGUUCUCAAGCACCAUCUCCACUUUUUCCCCUCCACAAUUAUUGGACUCCAAGAAACUAGAACACCCUCUUUCUUUGAAUAUGAGCAACUUGUCAAAAUAGUAUACUUUUGACUGAUUUCAUUUUUGUUCCUGUAGAUAACCACACCUCUGAAACAGGUGCUAAAGCCACCAUAGGCCCAACAGGCCAGUUCUGUUUUGUAUAAAGAACUCUUGAAACUCCCAAGAAAACAAGUAACUGAAUUUAAAAAUCAGCAAAAGACCUGAACAUACAUCUCACCAAAAAUAUACUGAUGGCAAAUUUCUAGAACACUCCUGUGAUGAACCAUGGCUUGUCAUGGUGGUAAAACUGAGGCCCUGAAUGUAAGACCAAAGGAAAAAAUGGUAUUCUUUGACCUGCUUUUCUUUGCUUCAUUUUUUUACCUGCUCCUGGACAUCUUCAAACUCUGAGCUGAGCAACUCUAUGAAGAUGGGCACAGCUCCUGCCUGAAUCACAAUCCGGGUCUGAAGAGAAUUUCCUGAAGCAAUAUUUGUCAGUACCCAAGCUGAUUCAAACUAUAAAGAUAAAAAUAAUUUUAUUAUCUUA